GAUGAACGCUAGCGAUAGGCUUAACACAUGCAAGUCGAGGGGCAUCGAGGGUAGCAAUACCUGUCGGCGACCGGCGCACGGGUGAGUAACGCGUAUGUAACCUGCCCGCAACAGAGGGAUAACCCGGCGAAAGUCGGACUAAUACCUCAUAAAACAGGGGUUCCGCAUGGGGCUAUUUGUUAAAGAUUUAUUGGUUGCGGAUGGGCAUGCGUACCAUUAGGUAGUUGGUGAGGUAACGGCUCACCAAGCCAUCGAUGGUUAGGGGUUCUGAGAGGAAGGUCCCCCACACUGGUACUGAGACACGGACCAGACUCCUACGGGAGGCAGCAGUGAGGAAUAUUGGUCAAUAGGCGAGAGCCUGAACCAGCCAAGUCGCGUGAAGGAUGACUGCCCUAUGGGUUGUAAACUUCUUUUACAGGGGAAUAAAAUGAGAUACGUGUAUUUUAUUGCAUGUACCUUGUGAAUAGCAUCGG
rnacentral:rRNA from 1 species